AUAAAUACUUGCUGCAGUUUAUAUUAGGGUUAGGCCUAUUUUAUUCUGUGUCGGCAGUGAAAUUUUAAGUGUUAUAUGCCUAAACCUAUUGUACCUCCAAGCCUUAUUGUUAUGGCUUACACCUAGAUGUGCCCCCAAAGCCUUGUGUGAUCAUAGGUGGGCUUUGGGGAGUGACUGGCUCACGGCUGAGUGACCCCGGGGUCUUCCACGGACGGUUUAUAGCUGGCUGUGACGCCGGAGAGGAAGCCUGGUGGGAGCAGGCGGGUCAGUGCGGGCGUGGCCCGGAAGGAGGUCUAUGCCUCCCCGCCCUCGAUCCCUCUCUGCUUCCUGCCCUCCCACAGACUGUUUCUCCCCUGCGAUGCCUCUCUGCCAGGCUGCCCUGCCUUGAAGCCAGCUGCUGUGGCCUGAAACCUCUACGAACUGUACUGAAGCAAACCUUUCCUCCUUUAACUUCCGGGUGCCAAGUGUUGUGUCUUAGCAGUGAGAAAGUAAGACACUUUGGGUUUUCUUUAUGUGAGUUGACACAUCUUCAUAAUUUUUAGAAAUGUACUGGAACUCAACUAAUUGUAUAUACUAUUUGUGUUGUUCUCUCUUUUUUGCUCUUAUUUAUCUUUGUUCUUUUUUCCCCCCUUUUCCUGCUCAUGAUGGCUUCUGUCACUUUGUCUGGAAAUAUCUCCAUUUCAGCCUUACCUUUAAAGGAUAUGUGUUCUGGGUACAGAAUUCUUAGUUGGCAGGUAUAGUCUUCCAGAUUCUGAUUUUUCCAUUAGGGUGCCAGCUGUCGGUCAUGUCCUUCUCUUCUGAAGUCAAGGUCCUUAUUUUCCACAGGAUGUUAAUAUUCUCUCUCUCUCUGGUUUUCCAUACCUCUCCUACCAUGUGUCUGUGGUUUCACUGUGCUUAUUCUUCUUCGGAUUGAGAGUGCUUUUUGAUUGUGUGACUUGAUGUUGUUUAUUGGUUUCUGAACAUUCUCAGCCAUUAGCAUUUCUUCCACUGCUUCUACUUCAGUCUCUCCUCUUUUCUAGGACUCCAAUUACACAUAUGUUAAGGCCAUGCCCUAUAAAUCUCUUACCCACUUUUCUAUACUUUUCACCAUUUUGACUUUUAACCUUUGAAGUUAGAUAUUUCCCACUGAUCAUCUGCCAGUUUAUAGAUCCUCUCUUCUGCAAGAUCCAAUCUCCUCUCAUGCCCAUCUACUUAAUUCUUUCUUUCUUUCUUUCUUUCUUUCUUUCUUUCUUUUGGUACCAGGGAUCGAACUUGGGUCCUUGCACUUGCGCAGUAGGCAGUGAAACCACUGAGCUAAAUCCCUGGCCAUCUACUUAAUUCUUGUAUUUGUGUUAUAACAAUCUCUUACCUAAAGUUUCCAUUUCAUUUCUUAACAAUUCCAAUUCUCCUAUAAAAUUCUGUAUUUGUUCCUUUAUUGUAUUGGAUGUUAAUCUCUGUUGUUUAUGUCUGUACCUGACAAGUCUGGCAACUGGAAUUGUCUCCUGGGACCCUUUCUCCUUGCCAACUCCUAAGCUCCAAUUUUUGUCUCUCCAACACACAGUGCUACACAGAAUUGCUCUCUACUUUGAGCCAAUUUUACUCUGCUUCUUUGUAUCUCCGCACUCCCCUAGUGUUGGGCUGUCUUCUCUAUGGCUCACCUUCCUCUACGAUCUUGUCCCUUCAAGCUCUGGGCCAUAGCAGCGUAGAAUUCUAGCUUCUUAUUCAUGUUUCUGUUCAGGUGCCUAAUUUCCACUGGAUCUGCUACCUCUUAGCUGCUGUCUCUGUCCAGCUUCUAUGUUGUGCCCACCUCACUUGGUUUCAUUCCGUUUGUGAUCGGCUCCUAAUAUGUUGACUGCCUAAGCAAUUCCCAGGGCCUCCGAGCUCAGGGAUUUUAUACUGAACCCACCUGUCACAAAUGGCUCUUACAUCACAAGAUUGGUUUUCUGAUAUGGUGGCAUUGCCACUGACCCCACUUCAGCCCACUGUACAAAGCCUGACUGGUUCCUAUCUCUCCUUUUCCUCUAAUAACUGCUCCUCUUGGAUGGAGGAAGAGGAGGCCCAGAACUGCUGCACUGAGACAGACUUAAGGACUGAAUUCACUUGCUGCACACUAGCCUUGUUAUAUCUCCCUGACUUCGAGUAGUCUGUCUUCCAAACUGUGCUAAGUGAAUUUUAGUCACACACACUAAAGUUGUUGAAUUAAAUACUCAUUUCCUCAAAGAACAAAACAUUCAGCCACACCCUUGGGGACAGUGUCCCCAAGUCAUGCUCUGCUCUCCCCGAGUAUCCGUCAGAUAAGACCCACCCCACUCCUGGCUCCAGAACCCUACAGAGAAGAGCCCACUCAGGAUCUAAAAUCCAGAGAGAGGAUGGCUAAGGAAGACGCACCUCUGCUGCAUUAGAACAAAAGAAGCACUUCCAUUUGUGAGUGUGCAUGCACCGUCUCCCGCGGGGGCUCUGCGCUGCUGUCUCCACUCACAGGGCAGGGCCAGCUCCAGGCCUGGGCAGGCAGCAGCUCAAUGCAGCACUGCACCAGGCCCGGGCUCUGCUUCCUGGACACCAGCAGUCUCUCACUGUCUCUGAAGCUUAUGCUGGAGUUCUCCUAAUUGCAUUGAAAACUGAGAAACUGAGGCAGAAAGAGAUUAAGUAAUUUGUCAAAGUCACACAGAUAAAAUUAGGGGCUGGUUCUCAUGGUACUCACAGUCUAUUAAAUAGAGAGGUUUUUGUAUUUUAGCAGAAAAAUUUAAAAUUCCAUUAAAUGUACUAUUAGCCAAAAGCUAGCAAGCAUGUGGGUGAUUGAAAAUUAACUUGAUAUUCAAUUUUCAUUAGGGCACUUGGAGUUAUGUAUUCACCGCCCGUGUCUGUGCCGUUAGUGUUUCUGGUGUCUCAUUAUUUGUCUACAAAAGAAACAUAAUCAGUCUUCUUGUCCAAGUAAUUUUAAUGGACUUUUAGUGAACUAAGCUGGAAUUAUUUUAAAAUGCUCUUAGGAAUGCUAAUAUAACUCCUUUCUAAAAGAAAAAAAGCUGUGAAAUGCAUUAAUGACAAGAAUAAGUGGGUUAACUGACAACUUCGUUGGAACUGGUGUUAAGAAAGCUGAGUGACUUUGUAUUCAGUUUGCAAAAUCGUAGUUUGCCAAGAAUGAGUAAAAUAUAAAAUGUGUGAGAGACCACUUAAUCACUACAGAAAACUUUAAAUUAAGUGCAAUGCUUAGGAACAUACGAUUCAGAAGAUUGCUAAUCUUGUUAAGAAUAUUAUUUUACUAGGCUUAUGUGCAGCAUGAUUGCUACACGGAGCAUUCAGUCAUUGUUGAUGGAACGGGCACGUCCAGAAAGACCACAUCUGUCUUUGGACAUUAAAAUGCUAGUGCUACAUUAUUUAGAUGUUAUAUAAAUAUUAUUUAAAGAGAUCCUUCUUAAGAAACUGUAGUCAUCCAUCAGGAAGAUGUUGUUAGGAGAAUGUAGCUAUAGAAUACAGCUUCCUACAGUUGAAAUUGUCUGGCAUUCCCUCUGGAUUUUUAGUGUAAUGGCAAAGAACCGAAUCAACAAAUAUUAAAUAUCUGAAUAUCUACAGUGUGUGGACAACAAUGCCUGUGGCUUAGUUAACUCUUCCUCACAUUUUUAAAACUGGUUUUUGUUAUUUUCUGUGCUUUUCUGUUAGGAAUUCCCCCAACAUACAUACAUAAAAUACUCUACAUCUCAAUGUAUCACAUUUAUCAUAUCUUUAAUGCCCAUGGGAGGAAGCUUUCUAGCAAGACAGACGUGGCACUGUGUUAGUUUCCUUGGCUGCUGUAAUAAAUUACUGCUAAUGUGGUGGCUUCAAACAAGUCAUCGUCCCGGUGCUGGGGGCGAGAAGUCUGAGGUCGAAGUGCAGAGGGCCUCACUCCUGGUGCCUGCAGACAGAAACACUCCUGGCUCCCACGGCUUCCGGAAGACAUCAGCACCCUUAACUCCCAGCCUCUUGGGCCUGAGCCUCUGCCUGCACGUCCCCUUCUCUGUGUGUGUGUCUCCUCCGGGUUCCUCUUAUUGGGACUCUUGUCAUGGCAUGUAGCACUCAUCCCGUGUGCCAGUCAGCACCACGAGUCAGCGCGGCUGGGUGGAGAUGCCUGUAGAGGUGAGUGGGCCGUGGGGUGCUCUUCUCCUCCAUGGAUCACAGCACUGAGGCUCACAGCUGAGUGCUCUGUUAGGAGUGGGGCCCCAUUGGAGGCGGUCACUGAGGUGUGCCUUGGAGCCUUCUCUGGCUCUCUUGCCCUGUGCUCUGUUUCCCAGUCGCCGUGCACUAGCAGUUCUGCUCCUUCCCACCCUGCCACCAUGAGGUUCCUGCCUUGGAGCCCUGGACUCCACUCAUGGGCUGAGACCUCAAACAAAAAUAAACCUCUCCUUUACACUGUGAA
rnacentral:lncRNA from 1 species